GCGGAAGUGGCGGAACUGGCAGACGCACCAGCUUGAGGGGCUGGCGUUCGCAAGAACGUGAAGGUUCGAAUCCUUUCUUCCGCACCA
rnacentral:tRNA from 1 species